UACGGGGGGGGGCAAGCGUUGUUCGGAAUUACUGGGCGUAAAGGCUCGUAGGUGGCCAACUAAGUCAGACGUGAAAUCCCCAGGCUCAACUUGGGAACUGCGUCUGAUACUGGAUGGCUUGAAUUCGGGAGAGGGAUGCAGAAUUCCAGGUGUAGCGGUGAAAUGCGUAGAUAUCUGGAGGAAUACCGGUGGCGAAGGCGGCAUCCUGGACCGAGAUUGACACUGAUGAGCGAAAGCUAGGGGAGCAAACGGG
rnacentral:rRNA from 1 species